GUGUCACUUAGUGGUAGAGUGCUUGCUUUGCAAGAGCAAGGCUCUAGGUUCAAUUCCCAGCAC
rnacentral:tRNA from 1 species